rnacentral:rRNA from 1 species
GAGUAAUGUCUGGGAAACUGCCUGAUGGAGGGGGAUAACUACUGGAAACGGUAGCUAAUACCGCAUAACGUCGCAAGACCAAAGAGGGGGACCUUCGGGCCUCUUGCCAUCAGAUGUGCCCAGAUGGGAUUAGCUAGUAGGUGGGGUAACGGCUCACCUAGGCGACGAUCCCUAGCUGGUCUGAGAGGAUGACCAGCCACACUGGAACUGAGACACGGUCCAGACUCCUACGGGAGGCAGCAGUGGGGAAUAUUGCACAAUGGGCGCAAGCCUGAUGCAGCCAUGCCGCGUGUAUGAAGAAGGCCUUCGGGUUGUAAAGUACUUUCAGCGAGGAGGAAGGUGUUGAGGUUAAUAACCGCAGCAAUUGACGUUACCCGCAGAAGAAGCACCGGCUAACUCCGUGCCAGCAGCCGCGGUAAUACGGAGGGUGCAAGCGUUAAUCGGAAUUACUGGGCGUAAAGCGCACGCAGGCGGUCUGUCAAGUCGGAUGUGAAAUCCCCGGGCUCAACCUGGGAACUGCAUUCGAAACUGGCAGGCUAGAGUCUUGUAGAGGGGGGUAGAAUUCCAGGUGUAGCGGUGAAAUGCGUAGAGAUCUGGAGGAAUACCGGUGGCGAAGGCGGCCCCCUGGACAAAGACUGACGCUCAGGUGCGAAAGCG